rfam:Callithrix jacchus chromosome 22, whole genome shotgun sequence
UCCCAAACUGUGAUCCUCCAAAGGGAAGUGUUUUCUGUUUUCUGAAAUGAAAGAGACCCCUUCCCUUUAGAGUGUUACCGUUUGAGA